GAGACACAGCCACCCCCCGCCUCUCCAGGAGACCCUCCAACACUAGCAGUUCCUGCGGCCGACAGCUGCUCUCGGACACCAACCCUCGCCCUCCACGGGGACUCCCUGCAGCCGGACAGCGGCGGCGGGUCAAGGGCCGCACUUCCGAGGCCGCCCACUCCUCCCUCGCCUUGCAGCCUGGUGAACGCGUGUGAUCGGCCGUCAAGCAAGGACCAGAGGGUCUCAUGAGAAACAGAAAAGAGGCGAGAAUGGCUGGCCUCCCUGUCUCAUGCAGUCCGUCAAGAACCAAACAUCUUUCCAUCCCAGUGGCUCCACCAUCCCCGAGACCCUUACAGUCCUUCCCUGGACGCGCUCAGUAACUUUGCCAAAGCAGCAGUCAUCACUAUCCCGCAGCACGAGGGAGCAUGUGCAGGCUGCCAGACCCAGAUGAUGCAAUGGACUUUCACUGGCCUACAGAGAGGGUGAUGUCAUGGACCUCAGCAGCACAGUUUCACCAAGUUGCAAGAUACCAAAUCAAACUGUCCCAAUGAAUUUCAAGAGUAUAUUUUACUAAAAUGUAAGUUAGGACCUCAACACACCAUGGAUAAUUUUUUUUAAUAUAGUAGAAAUAAAUACAUCACCAGGUAAAAUUUGUGAUUUAGAAAUAGAUACUGCUGGAACUGUAUGAAAAAACUUAAAAGAAAAAAAAAAAGCUAGACGUUAUUCAAUCCUCUCCCACUUCUGAUUUAUAUAGGAAGAUUAAAAAGCUCUGUGUAGCACAUGUACAAAUCUUAUUUCAUUCUAGACCCUUGUUCUGCCCUAGACAUACAUGUAUGUACUUCUACUUCUGCCGAAGCAGCUACUGUUCAGAUAUCAAGGGUCUGUGACACCAAGAUAAUGUGGGCAUAACCAAUAUUUGCCAAUGAGAGGCAGUAGAAAAUUGCUUUUCCAGCUGAGACGAAAUAAUGCUUUUCACCAAGUUUCAAAGAAGAAAAAUAAAUCUAAUAAAAUAUUAAGGAAUGCAAUAUUCCCGCAAAAAAGGGCUUUCUGAAUUAUAGAAAUUAUACCAAUUAUACUGAUUGCUCCUUGUAUAUCCAAUUACACAUGUUCGCCAAACGAGUCAGACUAGUAAUAAAUUAGUCUUAUUCUCUUCAUUUAUCUUUUAAUCACUACCAACUUUAACACUGUAUUCAAAUAGUUACUUAUUUUGUUGAAUGUAUGAAUAUGGCAUGUACUAAUUAUUACUAAUAAGACCAACAAACACUGAGUGCUUACGAUAGCCUGAUACUGUUCUAGGUGCUUCAGGGGAUUAGCUCCUCUAAUGUUUUCAAUAAUUGUAUAAGCAUUAUGAUUUCCCACAUUAUGGACUGUCUGCAUAUCAUUAGGUUUGGUUGAGAGGACAAAACAUUUUUGAAUGAUUUUUUAAAAAUAAAUACAAGCCAAGGGAAGGCAAGAUGGUGGCAGAAAUUCCUACACAAAAAGAGAGACCACCAACAGAAAGAUGCUGGAAACAGAGGUGAUGUGAGCAGGACAGGAAGCCUGGAGGUGCAGGGCAGAGAUGGGGCCGAGCCCGUGCAGGGGGGACCAGAGAGGGAGGACUGUACAAAGAAUAAAAUGGUACCUGCACCGAGAGAACCUUUUUCCUUUUUAAUAUUUCAGAGCAACAGACAAGGAAGCAAUAAGAGGCACGAAUCUAGAAACGUUACCCUCGAAUAUCACCCACCCUCACACAGCUGACCUCCCUCUAUCCUCCUAAAGGUACAGAGACUCAUCUCACUCAAAACUGGAGGGAGAUUAGAAAAACAGAAAGAAUUAAUAACAUACAGAAACACAAUGAAGGCACACCAGAAAAAUAUACUGAAAGCAGAUGAAAAACGUAGCCUAAUAUUUCAAAUUGAGUUAAUGGAAAUAAAGAAAACAUUGGAAGUUAUUAGAAAAUGGCAUGAUCGGUAUUAGAAAAGGCUCAGAAAUGAGACGAUUAGAAAACAGGAUGAUAUGAAGAGAAGUGGAACACGCGAGAAACAUUUUUUUCAGUAACAAGGACCAAUCUAGAAGCAACACAAGAGACAUGGAAGCUACAGUUAAGGGAAAUAAAUGAUACAAUGAAGAAAUAAAAUUUAGAUCAAGUAGUAAUGAAGAAAGGUGGAAAAAGAAUUCAUGGGGAAAGAGACAAAAAGACUUGGUAUUAUAAUGCCCGUUUAACAAUGCCCUACAGGUCCUGGACUGAACAAGAUGGUGUAAAUACACAAAAAAAUAAAUGGCUGAUAGAUGGAUAGAUAAGGAUUAUAAUGGAAAAAACAAAAUCGCCAUCAUUAACAAAAAAAAUCUAUAGUAAACGAAUCGAAUUUCUAAGUGAAUUUAGUAAAUUGCAGGGUACAAGGCCACUAUAUUGCAUCAAUAUAUUUCUAUGUACCAGCAGCAAACAAUUAAAAAAUAACAUUGUAAAUACCUAGAAAACACUAAUGAAAGACAGGCAGGACAUAUAAAAUAAAAUUAUAAAUACUACUGAGAGAAAUUAAAAACCUAAAUAAAUGGAAAGAUAGGCCGUAUCUGUGAAUUAUAAGACCCAAUAUUGUAAAGAUAUCUAUUCUAUUCAAAUUGAACUAUGAAUCCAAUGCAAUAACAAUAAA